GUUCAGUCUUUUUUCUCCAGAGUCUUUCUUAUAAUGAUGUUGAUUAUUCAUUCUUCGUACAUUUCAUGUUAACUGUGAAUGUAUCACAUCUGUCUGUUCAUCCUUCUCCUUCACAUUUGCAGGUUCAGAUGUCAGAUCAUGAUUCAGUCUGUUACGUGGCUAUGAUUCUGAUGGCUGUGUUUUGGUGGCAUUUCUGUCGUCCUCUGUUUGUUUUAUCUUGUCAUCUUUAACAGUAUCCAUUGUGUCAGUCAGUGGUUCUGUGAAUGUCCUGGAAGUAUUUUAGCAGGUUGUAAAAUAUCAAAUUCACUGUUCUCUGUUGGCUCUGAUUGUUCUCUGUAGUAAAAGUUCUCUGAGUCACUCUCUCCAGGACAAGCUGGCCAACAGAAGGAAAUAGGUGGUGGUGCAAGGCAAGGUGGGCUGGAAAAAAAAUUCCCCAAAUUUCUCUAAUAGAACCAAUGGUUCUAAGCUCUCCCUGGUGCAGAAAUAUGUUUGUCAGUGGAAAAACAUGUAACAUUUCAUAUGGUGUCUCACCAUUUGUAUCAUCAGGUAUUGAAGUUGUGAAUGUUCAUCUGUACCAUAGGAAUAAAUAUAUACCACUGUGUGGGGCAAGCAACUAGUAACUUGGUUAAUAAUCAUUUAACCUCAGCAUUCUCCCAGACCACAACCCCACUUAUUUGGGGGUGGUUGGCACACUGAAAUCCCAAAGUAACCCAAAUGUGGUUGCCCAGUUUUAGGUUUCCUUUGCAGUAACUGCAGGACCACCAUCCAAAUGGAUGGUCCUGGGAUUAUCAAAUGCAUACUAAGGAAGUGAGACUAGAAAACGUGGCAUCAGAGGUUGCACUUCGCACAGGAUAUAUCCAAGUAAACCUGGUACAUGCAUCAACACAUACAAAAACAUAUUUAUAACCAUGAGAUGUUGGCACACUUCCAAUAUAUAGUAAUCCAAAAAGUACGUUAGAUAUUAAUAUUUCAAUAAACAGUACAUCAGUAAUGUGGCAAUAAACAAAUGCUUAUGAUUACUAAACACAUGAAUUACAGUAUUUCCCAUAUUGGACCACCAAUAUUCCUUUUCAGGAGUCAGAAGUACAUUACCUCUCUCUAUAAGAGCUUGUCCUAGCCAUGAAAAAGCUUUUAGGGCAAGUCUAUCUUUCCUCUAUAGGAAGAACAACCAACAUAUUACCUUCAAUGGUUAUUAUGUAAUUAACCCCUGUAAACGAUAGGAGUAUUUAUACGGAUACCAGGUGGAUAAGGUCUGGAUAUCCUUGCAAGCAUAAACUCUGCAUCACGACUGAGAGAAAGGGUAUGCUUUUGUGAUCCAGUGACCACAGAAAAGUUGGUAGACACAUUGCAUCAAAGUGCCUGUUACAGACCAACUACAUGAGGAGAGGGACCAUGCUUUGUUAUAAGCAUGUCCAUACACAUAUUACAAUGCCAGGCUUUCAAUUUGUUAUCACAAAGCAAAAUGCAGUUGUGGAUAUAAACUCACGACGUAUCGUAAGAAAAACAGUUUGAACACCAGACUGAGAUUCGAGAUCAGUGAGCAGUGGACCCAAAAUAGAUAAAUGAAAUCCUAU